GACCUUUUGUAGUUCAUAAGAAUAAUCAUAAGAAUAAUGAUUUGAGUGUUCACUCCCAUGCCUGAGAUGUGCUUCUCUCCAACCUUGGUAUGACAUCAGCACAUUACCCAUAUGAUA
rfam:Otolemur garnettii contig193835, whole genome shotgun sequence.